UCGAGAAUCUUCGGCAAUGGGCGCAAGCCUGACCGAGCGACGCCGCGUGCGGGAUGAAGGUCUUCGGAUUGUAAACCGCUGUCGGAGGGGAUGAACUGCCGGAGAGUAAUUCAUAAUCUCUUCGGUUUGACAGAGCCUCGGAGGAAGCACGGGCUAAGUUCGUGCCAGCAGCCGCGGUAAUACGAACUGUGCGAACGUUAUUCGGAAUCACUGGGCUUAAAGGGUGCGUAGGCGGUCCGCCAAGUCCGGUGUGAAAUCCCCCGGCUCAACCGGGGAAUAGCGCUGGAAACUAGCGGGCUGGAGCGAGGCAGGGGUGUGUGGAACUUCCGGUGGAGCGGUGAAAUGUGUAGAUAUCGGAAGGAACGCCGGUGGCGAAAGCGGCACACUGGGCCUUGUCUGACGCUGAGGCACGAAAGCUAGGGGAGUGAACG
rnacentral:rRNA from 1 species